AGAGCCACAGGCACACUUUGAUCCAGGGAGCCGCCGCAGGGAAGAAGGAGCCCCUGGAGAAGCUGUGCCAGGUGGGGCUGCUGCGUCUGGAGACAUGGAGGAUGACGUCAAGGAUGACGAGCUCUUCCUCGACCUGGCCACCGGCAAGCUGAAGAUGAUGGGCUUUGAUUCUGGCACCUUCUUCAAAGCCAGGCUCCACAGCGAAUUUACAGAUGAGUCCACACCCAGGGGGAUGCUCCCAGAUUUGGGCAUUGCACGGCCUGGCCGGGAAGCAAAGGUUCCCCCCUUUGCUGGGGCGGAUGCAACUAAUUCUUCAGCCGGCUGCCAAGCUGCUUUUCGGCGGGGCGGGCGGGAUGGGCUGGGGUGCUUACGAAAUGGGAGUCGGCCCCUGGCCCUGCCAACAGCCCCCACCACCCACUGUUCCCCGGGCUGGGGCUGGGGCUGGGGCUGGGGCAGCCAGCCCGACACAAACAAGCCCCCAUGGCAGGAGCAGAGGUGGCGCUCCAGGAGCUGUGCACGGGCUGCUUUGUUUUGCGGGAAAGGAAGGGCUCGGGCUGCUCCACUCCCCUUGUUUGCUUCGGGCUCGCCGUGCCUGUUGGGGGGCAGUGCAGGGGGGAAGGGAGAAAGCGUGGGCUUCCCUCGCCCGUGGGAAGCGUUGUAGGUGGUGUCCAGUCUGGAUCGGGAAGUGCUUGGGACCAGCUGCGGCGUGGAUGGGACGUGGCCUUGGAGAAGGCCGAGGACAUCGCUUGGGAGCAGCUUUUCUUCCGGCGGCGGGUGGCGUGCGCCGGGCUCUGUGGAUGCUGAGGCUGCUCUGGGCUCCGCCA